UAAUUGGAGCAGGAGUGAUUGGAUUAUAAUUAGUUAAAGAUUAUAAUUAGUCUCUGCAACGAAAUGGGAUAACAGUUGGUGACGGAAUGCAGGGGCUCUUUCAUCACUCUUCUCCCUUGAAGAAGACCGGGCGGUUAUUGAAUGGGCACAGGUGAAAGCCACCCUUACCACAGAUGAACACUUUGCGCACCAUGGAGUGGAUUGUUGGUAAUCUGUCCAAGUCUCACCCAAACCUGAGCAAAGUCGCUACAGUGGGACUGCUUCUACUAACCUCCACAGCUGAUUGUGAGAGAGGUUUCAGCAGUUGAAUGUGUAAAGACCACCCACCAUUCACCCGUGAGCAUAAAAGUGCUUAAUGCCUUACUCAUGGUGUCCAUGCAGGGACAAAAAUUGAAUGACUUUAAUUUCAGUGGUGCAAUAAAGGAAUGGCACAGAGCCAAAGACAGACACUUACCGUAUAUGAAAACAAAAAUGCCUAUGUGCUGUUAGUGUUAGUACAAAAGAAGUGGAAGGACAUAUGUGUUGUUUGAAAAUACAUAUAAAAGAAGUGGACAUCUGUUUAGUGUAUAUGAUAUAUUGAUGGUUAUAUGAUUAUGUAAAAAUGAAGAAAUAAUGAAAUACAUGUUGUUGUGUUUUUUUGCAUAUGGUAUACUUAAACAAGAGAUCACAGAGUGAUCUUGGCGCCCACCAAGUGCCAUUUUUGAGUGUUCCAAAUUUCAAGACUUACUGACUAGCUCAAGGUCAAAUUUCAUUUCCGUACACAACACUGUGCAUGUGGUCCAAACUCGAAA